UUUUCUUUUUCUUUUUUCUUUUAUUCAUUCAUUAUAUAUCUUUGUUUUUAAUUAUAGAUAGGACUGAUUAAUUUUGUGUGGUGAACUGCAUUGAAAGCAAAUAAAAGACAAUAAAUA
rnacentral:ribozyme from 1 species